GGGGGAGGCUGCCAUGCCGCCUUCGGUUCCUCCACGGCGGCGCGUCAAUUACGGACCUCGCGGCAGAGAGCAUCUCCGAGCGCUGGCCCUCACGUGACGUCGUCGUUUGUGAUCCUUGACAUGGAGGCCAUAUAUGGGGAUGAGCCCCUGGUUGUGCCGGAUGCUGGACAGCCUGCGGGGUGCAGCAGCUCCUGGCUGGCCCCUCACCAUCUACGCAGAGCGAGGGCCACGUUGCGGCCCAUCCCCCCAUCACUGCGGUGACAAGGAGAAGGCAGAUACCUCUCACAUGCACUCCCUGGUCCCGCCAGUGUGGACUCGGAGCUCACAGGGAGUGCGGUGGCUGCCCCAGGCGUGCAGCUGUUACCAAUUUGGCAGGCGAAGGGCAGUGGACCGCUCCCAGGCUUCGGCUUUCACCUCGGCCUUGCUCCUUGGGGAAUCCAAAGUGGCCGGUGAGGUGACAUCACAGAGGUGUCGGCCAGCCCCGCUGCUCUGGGGACGGCCCCGGGCUUGCCCUGAUGAGGAGGGCCUGGGUUCUGGGUGUGAUGGGGCAGGGCCGGGGGCAGACCUGGCAUCCCAUUGCAUGGUGAACUCCGCGACGGUGACACGUCCUCCCACUAGCCCGUGUCCCACACAGAACUGAGAGAAAAGAAUGUUGGAACUGGAAGGCCCUAGGAGUUCAUCCGCCCCAGCACCCUUUUUCUGAGGGAAGGGAAACCGAGCUGGACAGCGAGAGGAGUUGUCAAGGCUUCGCAGAGGCCACAGCUUCCAGAAACUCCUUCCCUGCCUCUCUGCGGCUCCCUCCCAAGCUUACGGUGUGAUCUUAGCGGUUGAUCGUCACAUCGUGCUGCAGACCCUACCACCCAAGUUGUUGGGCAAAGCGGCAGGAAUCCCACCACACAGGAAGACGGGCUGGACUUCCUCGUGAGCACAUUUACGAUGCCUGUUACCCCUGCAGACUCCCAGAGAUGCUCCGGUGGGGAGGAUGUGGUUUACAAUAGACCACAAGACCCACUGAGCAGCCGGAGGCUUCAAGUAUAGGCAGUUUGGGUGUCAAUGUCAAUGUCAUUGUGCCUCAUUGUUCCCCCUCCCGAAGGUCAGGUUGGGGCCACUUCCUACAGAGCCCAGUGGCUAAAAGUCCAGACUCUGGAGUCACCGGUCAGCUCCACCGCCACUUGCUAGCUGGGUGACCUUGGACAGCUCACUUGACCUCUCUGAGCCUUGGCUUCCUGCUAUAUAAAAUUGAAAGAAAAAUGAUAGUACCCGUAGCUCAUAAGAAAAUGUAUUUAUCUUCCUUAGAAUAAAGCCUUAUAAAUGUU